CAGCACCCGUUCCCUACAAUACCCCUCUAAUAACCACCAUGCAACCCUUAUGACUCCACCACGCACACUCCCCUCACGCCCCCUGUACAGCACUACCCUCCACAAUGCCCGCACACACGCAACACACACACAGCCCAUGCGCUUCGCGUUCCCGUCCCGCCUGUACGGCCCUUGGAAUGGCAGGUGGUGGGCUUAUGCGUGGAGCAGGUGCUCGAACCGCCUGUGCCUUCUGCCAAGCAGCAGCCUCCAAAUUCCUAAAAAGAAUGGAAGUAAAUUGUUGCUGUCACAACACUAGGAACUUCUGAGACCAUGAAUGAGGCUACAGGAGUUUCAUGCAUUCCAUCCAUACCUUGAGUACCCAAGAAAUGUACUUGAAAAUCCAUACUGUGUUGUCCUGUCAUCUCCACUACUACAUUCCCGGCCAGCCUCAGGGUCAAGAACCAGGCAGAAUAAUAAGCCCAGCUAAAAAGUGAUUAAAUAUUGUCUUUGAAGGUCUGAGAGCAAAAGGAAAGAGAGGCUCGCUGAAGCAACUCAAACACACAGAUACAAAAAGGCUAUAGGAAGUAUUUGCAGCAAGACUGGAGAAACACUUUGUUGUUUUGCUUCAGUUUUUUGCUGAUGAAUAAAAACUGCCCUAAAAAGACGGUCAAAACAGAGUGUCCUCACUGUGCUGGAAAACAGGCAGAUGCCUCAUAUGUGUGCUUGUGAUUGCUUAUGGUUACUGAGCACUCCUGGUGUCACUUGAGCAUGUGAUGCUUCUCUAGGGUGAGUGCAGUGGCUUCCUGCAGGUAUCGAUUCCCUGGUUUUGGGAGUGGGAGUGCAGGGAAUCUUAUCAGUAAAGCCAUCAUCUUCUCACAAGGAAAAAGGGGUAGCAAAAGGAGUACAAAUGAGGGAGGCUUUCCUGUACUUAACCUUCUCUUUUUUCAGGUCACUGUAGGGUGCUGUGUUACCUGUGCCAAGCUG